CCUACGGGAGGCAGCAGUGAGGAAUAUUGGUCAAUGGACGCAAGUCUGAACCAGCCAUGCCGCGUGCAGGAAGACGGCUCUAUGAGUUGUAAACUGCUUUUGUACGAGGGUAAACGCAGAUACGCGUAUCUGUCUGAAAGUAUCGUACGAAUAAGGAUCGGCUAACUCCGUGCCAGCAGCCGCGGUAAUACGGAGGAUUCAAGCGUUAUCCGGAUUUAUUGGGUUUAAAGGGUGCGUAGGCGGUCGGAUAAGUUAGAGGUGAAAUCCCGAGGCUCAACUUCGGAAUUGCCUUUGAUACUGUUCGGCGAGAGAGUAGUUGCGGUAGGCGGAAUGUAUGGUGUAGCGGUGAAAUGCUUAGAGAUCAUACAGAACACCGAUUGCGAAGGCAGCUUACCAAGCUACUUCUGACGUUGAGGCACGAAAGCGUGGGGAGCAAACAGGAUUAGAUACCCGUGUAGUC
rnacentral:rRNA from 1 species